AACAGAUGCACAGGACCUCCAUCUUGUUCAGCCCUCUCUCCUGGAAGCUGCCAACAUGUGACCUCUUAGUGAUGAAUGCUUCCACCUUCCUGACUCCCACAAUGGCAUGAUCCGGAAUGGACUUUCCCAAUUAGAAUUGACAGUUAUAUCCUACAACUGGAUGCAUUUUUUCAUUAAAUACUUUUUUGUCAUCCUUAUUUUGCAAUAAUUAAGAUUUGCUGACUUUCUGGACAUGAUGCAAAGUUUGCGGUUUAGAAAGGAUGCCAAGAAAAAAGAAACUGCCUAAA